rnacentral:rRNA from 1 species
UACGGGAGGCAGCAGUGGGGAAUAUUGCACAAUGGGCGCAAGCCUGAUGCAGCCAUGCCGCGUGUAUGAAAAAGGCCUUCGGGUUGUAAAGUACUUUCAGUCGUGAGGAAGGUGUUAAGGUUAAUAACCUUAGCAAUUGACGUUAGCGACAGAAGAAGCACCGGCUAACUCCGUGCCAGCAGCCGCGGUAAUACGGAGGGUGCGAGCGUUAAUCGGAAUUACUGGGCGUAAAGGGCACGCAGGCGGUUAAUUAAGUUGGAUGUGAAAUCCCCGGGCUUAACCUGGGAAUGGCAUUCAAGACUGGUUAGCUAGAGUCUUGUAGAGGGGGUAGAAUUCCAUGUGUAGCGGUGAAAUGCGUAGAGAUGUGGAGGAAUACCGGUGGCGAAGGCGGCCCCUGGGACAAAGGACUGACGCUCAUGUGCGAAAGCGUGGGGAGCAAACGAGGGAUUAGAUACC